rfam:Pyronema omphalodes CBS 100304, CBS100304, WGS project CATG01000000 data, contig: Pcon_v1_contig343
GGGGAUCUGGUUUAGGGGUAUAACGUUUCAUUCGCAUCCUUCAAAAGCGUGAAUUGAAAAGGUCUUGGGUUCGAUUCCCAAGUUCUCCA